rnacentral:rRNA from 1 species
UACGUAGGUGGCAAGCGUUGUCCGGAUUUACUGGGCGUAAAGGAUGCGUAGGCGGACAUUUUAAGUCAGAUGUGAAAUACCCGAGCUUAACUUGGGUGCUGCAUUUGAAACUGGGUGUCUAGAGUGCAGGAGAGGUAAGUGGAAUUCCUAGUGUAGCGGCGAAAAUGCGUAGAGAUUAGGAAGAACACCAGUGGCGAAGGCGACUUACUGGACUGUAACUGACGCUGAGGCAUGAAAGCGUGGGGAGCAAACAGG